rnacentral:rRNA from 1 species
GAGUCGAGUUAUUUGGGACUAUAGCUCUAAUAGUUUGGUUGGUGGUAAUGACACAUCAAAGGCUAAAUAUUGGUUAGUAGCGAUGCAUAUUGCGGAGACCGAUAGCAUACAAGUACCGUAAGGGAACGAUGAAAAGCACCCUAUUGAGUUCACGGCGCAGACUCGCCACCUCGUGUGGCUUGUCCCGCGCCCAACAACUACAGUGGGAGUGAAAGAGAGAGUGAAAUCGCCUAUACAUAAAAAUAUAAUAUACUACACACUUACAGUGUAUUUAUUUACAUUGUCUGCGUUAGUACAAUCGGACAGAGUGUCGUAUAUACACAUAUGCGCCGCCUAUUAUAUAUAUUUUAUAUGUAUAAUAUGGUUUGGCUCAUAGCCACCCGCUCGCGGGCAGCUAUACGCGACACAACUGUACGACCCGUUUUGAAACACGGACCAAGGAGUUCAACUGGAUUAUGAGUCGUAGAGCGUAUAUUAACACCAUACACUCACACGGGCGCAGCGAAAGCAACGUUAUCCUUUUAAUGUGCUAGGUCGGCCGUAAAAAGUUGACCGCAGCACGCGCUGAGUGAGCAUAUACGCGAGGGCCUCGUGUCAGCGCGUAUACCUGUAUGCAUUUGUGCUUGCACGGACGCAAUACUAGGAUCACUCAAGCGUUCAACGAGUAUAUCUUGUUGAGACCCGAAAGAUGGUGAACUAUGCUCGGAUAUGGCGAAGUCAGGUGAAAACUUGAUGGAAGCUUGCGUUGUGCGGAACUGACGUGCAAAUCGUUACCGCCUAACCUGAGUAUAGGGGCGAAAGACUCAUCGAACCAUCUAGUAGCUGGUUCCCUCCGAAGUUUCCCUCAGGAUAGC